rnacentral:miRNA from 1 species
GGAGCAGCCCGAGGCUUCCCCAGCGCUGGCUCCAGGCACCCGCGGCCAGGGCCGGGGGCGGGGAGCA